GUUUUGGCAUAAAGUUUUAGAUAUAUGGAUUGUCUAUGCUGACAGCAUUGAAGGCUAUGAAAAGCAACAGAGUACAAAGUGUAGGUGACAAGAAAAAAUGUGUAAUGCUGAACAAUCCAGAGGUAGUACCACCAAAAAGGAAAAGAAAUGCAGUCAACUCAAAACAAAAGAAAGAAUUAGUUGACAGAAAUGUAAAGAAAACUAAAAAAGAAUGACAGCCAUCUGUACCUGGCUCAGACAAAGAUGUGAACAGUGACUCUUAAGAUGGCAAUAACUGUCUUCUAAUGACAUAAUGUAUGAGAACAAGAAUGAUGUUGAUAAGAAUAAAGUUUCUCGUAGUAUCCAAUCAAGUAAUAAAAUUAGUUAUGGAAAAUUAAAGACAAAUACUGCAGUCCCAGUACUAGGCAAAAUUAGUAAAGAAUCCACCAAUGAUGAAAAUAGUAAUUGCACCACCAAGAAAACUGAAAAUAUGAAAACAAGUGUUAUGAGCAAUGCUUUUACAGGUGUGAGCUGUUUUUAUAGAUUCGAGUGGUGGUGGAAGUUUUAACAUUGGAGAAGAAACACCACAUUCAAAGUUACUUCCUGGGAGUUGUUUCAAGACACCUGAGACUUCUCCAUCGCACUCCAUAUUCCAGAUAACACCAUGUAAUAGUGGGGAAGUUCUGCAAUAUGUUCAUCAACAGAAGACAAAGGUGACAAAAAUGUCAAAAAGAAAAAUGCAAAGUUUAUUCAUACCUCAUCAGAAAAUCAGGCUGUAAAUGAUAUAUAUGCAGCACUGCUAAAGGGAGAACCCAUCCCAAAACAUAUAAUAUCGAAAGCAAUGAAUGUUGGCAGUGAUGAUAGUUCAUUUGAAUAUAUUGAAUGAUUUAAUGAGCAUAGAGACCUGGGCCAUAGUAUUUUAUGUGCUGUG